UUGGCCCUGAAUCAAGGCCAGUAGUUUGCUGUAGCUGCUGGUUUCAAACAGGAGCCUAAAGAGAAGUCUUUCUAUGGUCUGUUGGCCAUUUCAGAACUUUGGAAAUGAAAUGGUCAAUUCAUUAGAAAGAAACAGCU
ensembl:snoRNA